rnacentral:rRNA from 2 species
CAUCCUCCAAGGCUAAAUACUCCUGACUGACCGAUAGUGAACCAGUACCGUGAGGGAAAGGCGAAAAGAACCCCGGCGAGGGGAGUGAAAAAGAACCUGAAACCGUGUACGUACAAGCAGUGGGAGCCCCACCACUAAGCCAGUGGUGAACUCCACAUACGCAUCCUUUGCUGAGGAUACGGUUAACGGAGCGAAAGCGACGUUCAACCUCAAAAGAAGCAGAGGGGGCUUAGUGGUGGGGUGACUGCGUACCUUUUGUAUAAUGGGUCAGCGACUUAUAUUCUGUAGCAAGGUUAACCGAAUAGGGGAGCCGUAGGGAAACCGAGUCUUAAUUGGGCGUUAAGUUGCAGGGUAUAGACCCGAAACCCGGUGAUCUAGCCAUGGGCAGGUUGAAGGUUGGGUAACACUAACUGGAGGACCGAACCGACUAAUGUUGAAAAA